GACAGAGGGUGCAAACGUUGUUCGGAAUUACUGGGCGUAAAGCGAGUGUAGGCGGUCUGCUAAGUCGGGUGUGAAAGCCCCGGGCUUAACCUGGGAAUGGCAUUUGGGACUGCAAGGCUUGAGUGCGGCAGAGGAGACUGGAAUUCCUGGUGUAGCAGUGAAAUGCGUAGAUAUCAGGAGGAAUACCGAUGGCGAAGGCAGGUCUCUGGGCUGACACUGACGCUCAUGCACGAAAGCGUGGGGAGCAAACAGG
rnacentral:rRNA from 1 species